rnacentral:rRNA from 1 species
GACGGAGGGUGCUAGCGUUGUUCGGAAUUACUGGGCGUAAAGGGCGCGUAGGCGGCCUGGUCAGUCGGAUGUGAAAGACCGGGGCUUAACCCCAGAAAGGCGGUGGAAACUGAACAGCUAGAGAGAGGUAGGGGUAGAGGGAAUUCCCAGUGUAGCGGUGAAAUGCGUAGAUAUUGGGAAGAACAUCAGUGGCGAAAGCGCUCUACUGGACCUUAUCUGACAUUGAGGGACGAAAGCUAGGGGAGCGAAUGGG